AAAAAGAGUCAGUUGGCUAAAUAUGUCACACUCGCCCUAGUUUGGUGGGUGCUCUAUGGCUAUCAAGACAUAUGACCGACAUAAUUUGUGACACCCGUAGGAUUGGCCCAUUCAGCCAACCCUUU